rnacentral:rRNA from 1 species
ACGAACGCUGGCGGCGUGCUUAACACAUGCAAGUCGAGCGGUAAGGCCCUUUCGGGGGUACACGAGCGGCGAACGGGUGAGUAACACGUGGGUGACCUGCCCUCAGCUCUGGGAUAAGCCUGGGAAACCGGGUCUAAUACUGGAUAUGACUCCAUGACGCAUGUUGUGGGGUGGAAAGCCUUGUGCGGCUGAGGAUGGGCCCGCGGCCUAUCAGCUUGUUGGUGGGGUGAUGGCCUACCAAGGCGACGACGGGUAGCCGGCCUGAGAGGGCGACCGGCCACACUGGGACUGAGACACGGCCCAGACUCCUACGGGAGGCAGCAGUGGGGAAUCUUGCGCAAUGGGCGAAAGCCUGACGCAGCGACGCCGCGUGAGGAUGACGG